rnacentral:rRNA from 1 species
GAUGAACGCUAGCUACAGGCUUAACACAUGCAAGUCGAGGGGAAACGGCGUUAAGUGCUUGCACUUUUUGGACGUCGACCGGCGCACGGGUGAGUAACGCGUAUCCAACCUUCCCAUGACUAAGGGAUAACCUGCCGAAAGGCAGACUAAUACCUUAUGGUCUUCACUGACGGCAUCAGAUGUGAAGUAAAGAUUUAUCGGUUAUGGAUGGGGAUGCGUCUGAUUAGCUUGUUGGCGGGGUAACGGCCCACCAAGGCAACGAUCAGUAGGGGUUCUGAGAGGAAGGUCCCCCACAUUGGAACUGAGACACGGUCCAAACUCCUACGGGAGGCAGCAGUGAGGAAUAUUGGUCAAUGGGCGAGGGCCUGAACCAGCCAAGUAGCGUGCAGGAUGACGGCCCUAUGGGUUGUAAACUGCUUUUGUAUGGGGAUAAAGUCAAUCACGUGUGAUUGUUUGCAGGUACCAUACGAAUAAGGACCGGCUA